UGGGAAACAGGUUAAUAUUCCUGUACUUGGUGUUACUGCGAAGGGGGGACGGAGAAGGCUAUGUUAGCCGGGCGACGGUUGUCCCGGUUUAAGCAUGUAGGCUGGUUAUCCAGGCAAAUCCGGAUAAUCAAGGCUGAGGUGUGAUGACGAGGCACUACGGUGCUGAAGUAACAAAUGCCCUGCUUCCAGGAAAAGCCUCUAAGCAUCAGGUAACAUCAAAUCGUACACCAAACCG
rnacentral:rRNA from 1 species